AAGCUCUGCUUUUAACCUCUUCUGCUCCAUGGUGCCGACCCGGGGCUCUGCCAGCCCCUGAGGGCCGAGCGGAGGCCCCGCCGUGCCCGCUCCGGAAAGGGUUGGCACCGUGGUUAAACCCAUUCCUGCUUCACAGGGCAUUCGUUCUCCACUCCGUCUCCACAGCGGCAGAAAACAGCAGUGGCAAUGCUGCUUUUGAGAAAGUUCUAGAAUUCAAGGAGAAAAAUGAAAAGACUCCAGGUGAGACGUGGCCCUCAAACCCCUGCCCAGCUGAGAUUGUUCAAGCAGAAAUGGGGUGCUGGUGUUUGCUCCUAUCCCAGCUUCCUUCUGGAGGGCUCUGUUGGCACCAGGACUGGCUCCAUUUGAUGCUACAAGGAGCAAAACCCUAAAAGGAGCUGAUUUUGUGCCAUGACAUUUUUGCUUUGGAUAGGGAUUUUGCAGCAAAUGAGGAUUUUUCAGGUGGAGUGGUAGCAAGAGGCACGGGUGUGCCCAGGUCUGGGGGUGUGCUGGGUUUGGUGACCUGCCCACCAGCACAGCUGUGGCCUGGAAGAGGAAAAUAGGUGCUGGCACCCUCCCAGGAAAGUCAGGGGCUACAGACAUCCAGGAGAAGCUGCUGUACUCAGGGGCAAGAGAGGAACUGAAGGCUCCAGCUUUGGGCAAUGUUGCUCACCAAUUUUCGCCAUUGCAGACAGAGCUGCUGAACAGUUCCUGGUUGUGUUUGCCACUAAAUCUGUGUGUCCUCGCUCAGGGUGACAGAAGUGUGUUUGCCUUGAAUAAACCUCCAUGGAGCAGGAUGUCAGGAGUACAUCGCUAUUCCUGGGCACACUGGAGUGCUGCUGUGACUGUGUUACCAAUGUGUGGGCAGUAAAUCAGUUUUGCUCCUCAAUUCAGUCUGCUUUUUCUUGAUUUGCAUUCAGGACCCUGCACCCUUGAGAUGACUGGCAACAUGUAGCUGCUUUUUUAGGAACCGGGGGACUUCUGUGGGCUGGGGAUGGGUAGAGGGCCUUUGCCCUAGUGAGAAGAUUUGUUGGCAGAAUAAAUCACAGGAGUCAUUUCCUCAAAACCAGAGGUCUCCAGGCCUGGCUCCUCACUGCUGCUUUGAGUAAGAUGUUGGGUGAGGGAGGCAGAGGGGAGUUAGAUGAUGAGAAAGGAGUCUCUCAAAUUAACUUGGCAGGAUCUGCCUCAAGGGGCCCUGCAGAGCUCUUUGCUCAAUUCAGCUGGGGUGCAACCAGAGAGAAAAAACCCUGAGCUUUCCUGGAACAGCUUUUUUUGUUUGUUUUGCUUUUUCGGGCUUCUUUCAGAUCUGCAAAUCUGUGUCACAUCAUGUGUGACGGCAGCAAAUAAAGUGAACUCUGAAUUAA